AUACGGAGGAUCCGAGCGUUAUCCGGAUUUAUUGGGUUUAAAGGGUGCGUAGGCGGUUUGCUAAGCGGGAGGUGAAAUGCCGGCGCUCAACGUCGGAAGUGCCUCCCGAACUGGUGGACUUGAAUGACUCUGCCGUGGGAGGAAUGUGUAGUGUAGCGGUGAAAUGCUUAGAGAUUACACAGAACACCGAUUGCGAAGGCAUCUCACGAAGGGUUGAUUGACGCUGAGGCACGAAAGCGUGGGGAUCAAACAGGAUUAAAUACCCUGGUAGUCCACGCAGUAAACGAUGAUGGCUAACCGCUGGGCUUAUCAGUUCAGUGGCCAAGCGAAAGCGAUAAGCCAUCCACCUGGGGAGUACGGCCGCAAGGUUGAAACUCAGAUGAAUUGACGGGG
rnacentral:rRNA from 1 species